AGUGAACGCUGGCGGUAGGCCUAACACAUGCAAGUCGAACGGCAGCACAGUAAGAGCUUGCUCUUACGGGUGGCGAGUGGCGGACGGGUGAGGAAUACAUCGGAAUCUACUUUUUCGAGGGGGAUAACGUAGGGAAACUUACGCUAAUACUGCAUACGACCUACGGGUGAAAGCAGGGGAUCUUCGGACCUUGCGCGAUUGAAUGAGCCGAUGUCGGAUUAGCUAGUUGGCGGGGUAAAGGCCCACCAAGGCGACGAUCCGUAGCUGGUCUGAGAGGAUGAUCAGCCACACUGGAACUGAGACACGGUCCAGACUCCUACGGGAGGCAGCAGUGGGGAAUAUUGGACAAUGGGCGCAAGCCUAACCCAGCCAUACCGCGUGGGUGAAGAAGGCCUUCGGGUUGUAAAGCCCUUUUGUUGGGAAAGAAAAGCAGCAGGUUAAUACCCCGCUGUUCUGACGGUACCCAAAGAAUAAGCACCGGCUAACUUCGU
rnacentral:rRNA from 1 species